CAUGCAUGUAACAAAACAUAAAAUAUUGUAAGAUCCUCAGUGGUGCUUGGAUUUAUGAUCUCCAGGGCCAUAGUAAUCAACAUCAAACAUUGGCAACCUGUGUUGCACUCCUCCUCUUCUAACCCUAGAAUAUUCCCUUCUCUUCCCCAACUUAUAAUCAUAAUCACUUCCAUGCACCUCUCCAUGAGAAUCUCCAUCUCCAACACCAUUAGUUUCUCCUCCCAGUACCAUAGUGCUACUCUCCUUUUUCUAAAUUAAAAAAAAAAACAAAAAAAAAACAAUAAUAAUAAUAAUAAAAUUAGUACUUUCUCAAGUGUAUAAGAAUUUGAUUCCAAGUAACAUAGCAAUGAAUUAAUACUCACAUUGAUUCCCUUCCUGGAGCUAUAGUAAUCCUUUUCCUUCAAAUUGAUAGCUAAUUAAAGAGACAAAAAUGGUUAGUUUAAUUUGUUGCAUUUUUAUCUAUACUUUAAACAAAAAUGAACCAUCUUAAACCUUUUUUUUACCUCAAAGAGCAAAAAUAUACAUAUAUAUAUAUACCUUGAAUUGAUAUGGUGGAUAAUAGUGAUAGUAGAAGAAGCAAAAGGAUAAACACCAGCAAUAGAGGAGGCCUCAUCUGAGUAAUAGCUUGAGCUUCAAAAGUGUGAGAAAAGGGAGCCUUAAAAAGGGUGGGUAAAUA
rnacentral:lncRNA from 1 species